AGAGUUUGAUCCUGGCUCAGAACGAACGCUGGCGGCGCGUUUUAAACAUGCAAGUCGAACGAGAAUCCCAGUGCUUGCAUUGGGAAGAGAGUGGCGAACGGGUGAGUAACACGUGGAUAAUCUACCUUUAGGUUGGGGACAACUAUUCGAAAGGAUGGCUAAUACCGAAUAAUAUAAUUAUUACAUAAGUAGUAAUUAUCAAAGAUGGGGAUUUUCGGACCUAUCACCUAUUGAUGAGUCCGCGUCCCAUUAGCUAGUUGGUGGGGUAACGGCCUACCAAGGCUGCGAUGGGUAGCCGGCCUGAGAGGGUGUACGGCCACAUUGGGACUGAGAUACGGCCCAGACUCCUACGGGAGGCAGCAGUUAAGAAUCUUGCGCAAUGGGCGAAAGCCUGACGCAGCGACGCCGCGUGGACGAUGAAGGCCUUCGGGUUGUAAAGUCCAAUAAGCAGGGAAGAAUAAGCAAAAACUAAUAUUUUUUGUGAUGACGGUACCUGCCUAAAGCCCCGGCUAACUACGUGCCAGCAGCCGCGGUAAUACGUAUGGGGCGAGCGUUGUUCGGAAUUAUUGGGCGUAAAGGGCGUCUAGGCGGGGAACUAAGUUAGGUGUGAAAUCCAUGGGCUUAACUCAUGAACUGCAUCUAAAACUGGUUCUCUUGAGUUAGGGAGAGGAAAGCGGAAUUCCCGGUGUAACGGUGAAAUGUGUAGAUAUCGGGAGGAACACCAGUGGCGAAGGCGGCUUUCUGGCCUAUAACUGACGCUGAAGCGCGAAAGCGCGGGUAGCGAACGGGAUUAGAUACCCCGGUAGUCCGCGCCGUAAACGUUGUAUACUAGGUGUUAGUGGCUUGACCACUAGUGCCGAAGCUAACGCAUUAAGUAUACCGCCUGGGGAGUACGCCCGCAAGGGUGAAACUCAAAGAAAUUGACGGGGGCCCGCACAAGCGGUGGAGCAUGUGGUUCAAUUCGACGCAACGCGAAGAACCUUACCUGGGUUUGAACUGCUAGGGACCCGCGGAGAGAUACACUCUCUUCGAGACUUCGGUAGAGGUGCUGCAUGGCUGUCGUCAGCUCGUGUCGUGAGAUGUUGGGUUAAGUCCCGCAACGAGCGCAACCCUUGCCCUCUGUUGCCACCAGGUAAUGCUGAGCACUCUGAGGGGACUGCCGGUGAUAAACCGGAGGAAGGUGGGGAUGACGUCAAGUCCUCAUGGCCUUUAUGUCCAGGGCUACACACGUGCUACAAUGACGGGUACAAAGGGUCGCAAAACCGUGAGGUGGAGCUAAUCCCAGAAAACCCGCCCCAGUUCGGAUUGGAGUCUGCAACUCGACUCCAUGAAGGUGGAAUCGCUAGUAAUCGUGGAUCAGCAGGCCACGGUGAAUACGUUCCCGGGCCUUGUACACACCGCCCGUCACAUCACGAAAGUUGGCUGUACUAGAAGUCGCUGGGCCAACCCGCAAGGGAGGCAAGUGCCGACGGUAUGGUUGAUGAUUGGGGUGAAGUCGAAACAAGGUAGCC
rnacentral:rRNA from 1 species